CCUUCUUCUAAAAUCUUCCAAAUGAAGGCAUAAACUUCUCUUAUCUUCUAUGUUUAGCUCUACCUUCAUCUCUUUUUCAUUCCCUGAAAAACUAAAAGCCCUAAAAACCUAACAUCCUCUACUCUCUCUCUCUUCUUCUUGUUCAUGGAAUCAAACCACCGCAGACCCACAGCCUUACCGCGGCAACCAUCGAAGCCCAACCUAACCCACUCCUACCUUUUGUAAUUUCGGCCACCACCGGCAGCAUAGCGAGCGGUACCCUUGUGCACCAGCUCACCGUUAGCUGCUAGUUGUGAGGUAGAGCCAGAACUUAUUCGCUCAUCGUCAAUUCUACUCAAUAUCUCAUAGUUUUCCAUCUUUUACUUGGUACUUAUAAGCUUAGACACAGACAGUAGAAAAGCGAAGCUGCUCUUCUUCUUCCAUUUAUAUAUAUAUUGCUCUUGAGGUAAAGAAUAUUCUAUAGUUAGUAAGUCAAGGAUUACCCUUGAUACUUGCCUACAAUUGUGUAAAGAUAUUCUCUGUACUCUAGUGGUUAAAUACCACGUUUUGAUGAGCAAUACAGGCAGGCAAUUAUCUUCUAUCAUGGUAUCAGAGCCAUACUGCUUCUUCCUCCACGCCUUAAAUUGCACCGCAGCCUCUCUUCAUCAUCCUCUACCUUCCCUUCUGCCUUCUUCUCUUACGCCUCCCAUGGCUAACAAAAUUCCUCCCGCCACCAUAGUCUCUAACAUCAAACAAUGCAUUCCUCUCACCUUGGUCACUGGCGAAAACGAUAAUUACAUCUCUUGGUCUACUCUUUUCAAGCUUCAUGCCCGUGCCUAUCAAGUAUAUGACCAUAUCAUCCCUCCUCCAGCCGAUUCCAACCAAAAGGAACCCACGACCGACGAGAGUGCUCUCUGGAAGAGACUUGAUGCCCUAGUUCUUCAAUGGAUUUACUUCACUAUUUCUACUGAUCUUUUAAACUCUAUUCUCAAUCCCGAUGACACGGCUGCCGGAGCUUGGAAGAAAUUACUUAACAUCUUUCAAGACAACAAAGCUACUAGGGCCUUGCAUCUUGAGGAGGAAUUUGCGGGUACUCAUCUUCGUGAUUUCAAUACUUGCGCGGAUUAUGCCAACCGAUUGAAACACUUAGCCGAUCAACUUGCCAAUGUUGGGGUAUCCGAAGAACGCAUGGUUCUCAAACUCAUUGGUGGUUUCACUAACACCUAUGUUGGCCUCCGACGUGUCAUCUAAAAUAUGCGUCCUCUUCCCACCUUUGCGGAGGCUAAAUCUAUGUUUCUCUUAGAUGAACAACAACAGAAAAAGCUCAUUGAACAAAAUUCAGCCCAUGACUCUGCCCUUCAUACUACUUCUGUUCAUGAUUCCACCGUUGACAAUCGUUCCCGUUCAUCCAGCAACUUCAGCCGUCGACCAUCCAAUCGUGUCCGAGGUCGUGGUGGUACCUAUCAUAGAGGCAGUUGACGAGGUGGUCAUCAAAAUUCCAGCGGCAACCACCACUCCAACACCCAUCAACAAUCUGCCGGCAGUACCCGACAACAGCCCAGGCCACAGACUUCCAACAUGUACUAGCCAUAUACUCCAUGGACUCAACCACCAUGGGCAACACCACCUUGCCCCUAUCCUACUUCCUCCUGGCAGCCGCAUCCUACCAACAACCAGCAGCAAGGGAUUUUAGGGCCACGACCACCUCACUCUUUCUACACUGCAACUUCAUCCCCCUCCACCGCUCCAAGUGUCGACGGAUUUGCUCCAACCGAUAUCGAGGCUGCAAUGCACACUCUAUCUCUCCAACCCCCUGACCACAAUUGGUACAUGGAUACCGGUGCUACUUCACACUUGACCGCCGAUGGAGGUAAUCUUACGUCGUAUUGUAAUUUGAGCAAAAAUCAUGCAAUUAUUGUUGGUAAUGGCUCUAAAAUUCCAAUUCAUGGUUAUGGUUGUACUACCCUUGAUCAUUCUCAUCCCCCUUUUAAAUUCAAUAAUGUCUUACAUGCCCCUCACCUCAUUAAAAACCUUAUUUCUGUUAGAAAAUUCACUACUGACAAUAAUGUUUCAAUUGAAUUUGAUCCCUUUGGUUUUUGUGUGAAGGAACUGGAGACGGGGAGACCCCUAUGAGAUGUAAGAGCACGGGCGAUCUUUAUCCUCUAACCUCUUCGGCAACAUCAUCACCAUUUUCCUUUACUGCUUUAUCCCCUAGUUUGUGGCAUUCCCGUUUGGGCCACCCAAGAAAUGCAAUUCUAAAUUCCCUAAGAACUACAAACUUAAUCUCUUAUAAUAAAGCCCCCCAAAUUUUUUGUGAUUCAUGUCCCCUUGGGAAACAUAUGAAUUACCUUUUUAUGCUUCUAAUUCAGUUACUUUGAUGCCAUUUGAUAUUAUACAUAGUGAUUUGUGGACUUCCCCCGUCUUAAGUUCAUCCGGUCAUCGCUAUUAUGUCUUAUUUAUUGAUAACUAUAGCAAUUUCUUAUGGACAUAUCCUAUCUCAAACAAAUCCAAAGUCUAUGAUUUAUUUUUCACAUUUCGAAAUUAUAUUAAAACUCAAUUUGAACGUGACAUUAAGAAUUUCCAAUGUGACAAUGGCCGGGAAUUUUCUAAUAGUUCCUUUCAACAAUUUUGUAAGCUAAAUGGUAUGCAUUUCCCUUUUUCAUGUCCCGACACUUCCUCUCAAAACGGCAAAGCCGAACGCAAAAUCAAAUCCAUUAAUAACUAACUCAUCCAAGACAAUCAAAACCAUGAAAAACAAUAGAAAUCAAACAGAUUUGAGAUGGAAGAAAUGAUGAUCGAAUUUGAUCAUUUCACUAUUCAAAAUCAACCCAAGGUAAAAUAAACGACAUUGUAAGUUUUUUAAGUUAAUUCUUUUUAUAAUUUCAUUAUAAAUUUUAAGGAAUAUUUUGUUCAUGAAAAUAGUAUUUUCAAUUGAAGAUUUAAAGAUCAAAUUUAAUGAUGCAAAUAUACUAAUGGAAAAAACCUUAUUUGCUGCGGUUUUUUGGCCAUAAUAUGCUGCGGUUUUGACCCCAAGCAUUAGUGAUAGCAGCAGAUGACUUAUUUUAAAUGUUGCAGUUCAAAACCGCAGCAGAUGGCUUAUAUGCUGCAGGCAUCCCAAAAACCGCAGCAUAUAGUCAUACACUAUUAGGGAUGGCAAUUCAGUCCGAAUCCGCCCCUGAUCCGACUCGAUCCGAUGAUUUUAAUCCGAUUCGAUCCGAGGUGGAAAAUAUCCGAUUAUAUAAUCCGAGUCCGAUUUAGAGUUGGACCGGAGCUAGACCUCAUAAAAAAUCCGAUAAUCCGACUCCGACUCCGACUCCGACUCCAACUCCGAAUCCGACUCUAACUCCACCCGAUUCGACCCGACAUCCGACUCAACUUUUAAUUUAAGGCAUAUUUAUAUUUUGAAAAAUUUGAACUUUAUAUGAAAAUAAAUUUAUUCUAACCAAAAUUGCAAACUUGACAUCUAACUAUCUGAUUGACUAAUUACAUUGUAAGUGAGAUUGAAUAUUGUAAGUUUAAUCAAGUUGAGUGAAUGAAACUUAUCAAAACAAUCGAUUAGAUUAUUAUAGACUUAAAUGAAACCUAAAACUAACUAAAAUAAACUAUUAGAAAUAUAGUAUUAGUCUACAUAUUAAUUAAUAUUAAUCAAUUAGAUAUUUAAUCGAUCGUUUAAUAAAGAUUUAAUUGGAACUUGUCUAAUAUAGACUUGAAGCUAUGUCGUUAAAUUGUAAGUGAGAUUGAAUAUUGUAAGUUUCAUCAAGUUGAAUGAACAAAACUAAUCAAAACAAUCUAUUAGACUAUCAGACUUAUAGUCUUACAUAGAUACUUAAUCGACAGUAUAUUAAAGAAUUAAUUGUAACUUGUAAGUUGUCAAUUAUUAUGAAUUAAAUGAAAUUUAACCACUAAUAACGAAUUAAAAUUUUAUUUAAUUAUGUUUAUAUUAUAUAUAAGUUAUUUAAUAACCUCAUAAUUCUAAAUAAUUCUUAUUCAAGUUUAUUGCUAAUUAGCUUUUUUAAGAAAAUAUUCAUUAAAAUAGUAUUUACCAUUAAUUAAAUUUAAGCCAUUGAUAAUGUGUAAUGUGGAUGAAUGAAUGGUUUUGAUAAUGUCCACCUCAUCUAUCCUUAAAAACUUUCAAUAACCAAUUACAUACACCUAUGAAUGCCACAUGAAUUUUGGAUUUUAACCAUUGAUUUCAAAAUGGUUUCAAUCUUAACCCUUCAUUAAUGUUGACAUAAGAGUAAAAAAAAAAUAAUAAUAAUAAUAAUAAAAGAAAAAGACUAAAUCUAACAAUACUUCACAUUUCUAAUUCUGUUUUCUGACCAAUCUUCCCGCAAGAUUCAUCCCUUCCAAAAAAAAAAAGAAAAACACUCUACUCUACAGCUAUCAUUCAGCCUCUGCCGCCUGCCGCCGGUGGCUCAGACGCUACAGUCUAACGCUGCUCCUGCUCGCUGCUGCUCACGCCUCACUUGGUCGAAAGUCGAGGGUCGACUGUACUCUACUCCUCUUUACAAAAACCCUAAAAAUCAAAUUUUUGAUUUUUUUAGAUAUAUGUGCUUCGAGCCCCGCUACACCCGCCUACAAAAUAGCAGCAACUGCUGCCUUUUCAUGCACCACCAGCAGCAGCUACGACUGUCUGCACUACCACCAAGGCCCACCGCGGUGUCUUGACCCUCCUGUGAAAGUUUUGUUCAUAGCUUUGAAAGUUUUGUCCUUCUUAGCUUUAGUUUUUUAAUAUUUAGCUUUGAAAGUUUGUACAUAUAUAGAAUACAUUCAAGAUUGAAGUUCUGCAGUUCCAUGUUCUUUGAUCACAUUUAACAAGGUUCCAUUAACUAUUGCUUUA